GGUGGUCGGCACCAGGACCCAGCAGCGCUCCCAGCCGGAACUCCUCCAGGGGCCAGCGCCCCAGCACCGCGCGCGUCACCUCCGCCUGCUCCAGCAGACCUAACUCAAGUGCUGUCCUGCUAACUACAUGGGACCUGCUGAAACCGAAAUGAACCGAGAUUCCAGUUCUGUGCAGAGAUGGCUGGACCUGCGUUGGGGACAUGCCUGGACCACCCAGCCCACUGGCCUUCACUGGUCUGAAAGGUUGUGAGGCCCGUGCACAAGUCUGGCUCUCGAGGACUGGGGCACUCCCUGGAGGACCCACCUCCAUCCCAGCUGUCAGAAGAAAAACUGCUGUUACUCACGUCGCACGGGCCUCUCCCUAGGACCCGCUGGCCCCUCAAAGCUGUGACAGCACAGACGUGGCCUGGCACCCAGCAAGGCCUCUGACACCUGAUACACACGGUGGGGCCAGGCCGGAUGGAGAGCAUCGC
rnacentral:lncRNA from 1 species